rnacentral:ncRNA from 1 species
AAUUUCACGGCCGCCAGCGGUCUUUAUCUCUUUAUCCGAAUAAAGAGAUAAAGCUAAGAGGGAAGCCGGUUCGAAUCCGGCGCUGCCCCGCCGCGGUAUGUGGAGACGACGCCUGUCACACGCACUGGGCCAAGCCCGGGAAGCGACAGGCAAAGGCGGCACGUUUUGCGUGCCACAUCCACGAGCCCGAAGACCUGCCGCCGGCCGGCGCCCGCG